rnacentral:lncRNA from 1 species
GGACAGGGCUCCUCUGCCGUGUGAGACUGCGUAGGUGGAGAGAAAUGUGCUGGCUGAUGUACGAGUGAGGAUCCACCCUCUGAGAGCAACGGUGGCAGCAUCUCAGAGGGCAUCAUAGAAUCUGAGCACCUGUGGCUGGGUAGAUGUGUGGGAUGGAGACCUCUCUUCCUCUUCUGUCACAGACAGUGCAUCACACACUCUAUAGCAGACACUGACUCCAUCGCACACACUACAGCACACACUCACUGCAUCACACACACUAUAACACACACUCCCGGCAUCACACACACUACAGCACACACUCACUGCAUCACACACGCUAUAACACACACUCACUGAACAUACACUGCAGCACACACUCCCUGCAUCACACACACACUACAACACACACUCCCGGCAUCACACACACUACAGCACACACUCACUGCAUCACACACACUAUAGGACACACUCACUGCAUCACACAGUAUAACACACUCCAUCGCACACUAUAACACUCACUGCAUCACACACUAUAACCACUAUAACACACUCACUACAUCACACACACAAUAACACAUACUCACUGUAUCACACACACUAUAACACACACUCACUCCAUCACACGCACUAUAACACACACUCACUCCACACGCCAUAACACAUACUCACUGUAUCACACACACUCACUGUAUCACACACACUAUAGCACACACUCACUGCAUCACACACACUAUAACACACACUCCAUCACACGCCAUAACACAUACUCACUGUAUCACACACACUCACUAUAUCACACACACUAUAGCACACUCACUCCAUCACACAUAGUACUGCACAAACACAUUGCAUUACACACACGACAUCACACAUACUAUGUAACACACUCUAACACACAGUGCAUCACACAUUCUUCAGCAGAUACACACUGCAUCACACGGACACUAACACACACACACUUGAUCACACAUAUGACACACGCUGCACCACACAAACAUUACAUCACACACGCUGCCUCACAUGUAUUAUAACACACACUGUAACACACACUACAUCGCACACACUAUAUCAUGCACAGUGCUUCACACACAUAACACCUGCACACUGAAUCACACACAUCAUAACACAUGCCACAUCACGGACCCAUGACUCCAUCACAUGCAAUCUAUAACACGGUGGUCCCUAACCUUUUUGACACCAGGGACCAGUUUCGUGGAACAUAAUUUUUCCAAGGACAAGAAGUGAGGGGGAUUCUUUUGGGAUGGAACUGUUCCACCUCAAAUCAUCAGGCAUCAGUAAAUUCUCAUAAGGAGCACGCAACCUCGAUUCUCCGCAUGCACGGUUCGCAAUAGGGUUCGCGCUCCUGUGAGGAUCUAAUGCUGCUGCUGAUCUGAAAGCAGGCGGAGCUCGGACAGUAAAGCUUGCUUGCACCUUCCCCACCCCGGACAGUAAAGCCUGCUUGCACCCUCCCCACCCCAAC